rnacentral:rRNA from 1 species
UACGUAGGGUGCAGGCGUUAAUCGGAAUUACUGGGCGUAAAGCGUGCGCAGGCGGCUUCCUAAGUCAGAUGUGAAAUCCCCGGGCUUAACCUGGGAACUGCGUUUGAAACUGGGAGGCUAGAGUGCGGCAGAGGGGGGUGGAAUUCCACGUGUAGCAGUGAAAUGCGUAGAUAUGUGGAGGAACACCGAUGGCGAAGGCAGCCCCCUGGGCCUGCACUGACGAUCAUGCACGAAAGCGUGGGGAGCAAACAGG